CCCUUUCACUUUCCUAUUGCAAGGUGUCUUUCAAUGGUGAUCUGAAUGUAUGCAUGUGUUCCUCUAUGUCAUCCUUCUAUUUUCCCUCUACUGAUAUCACUAUUUUCACAUCAAAGUUCACACCAUUUACCAGAGACCCUUUUAAGCCCAAAGGCCUUUCCUGAUUUUUCGAUAAAGUGUGAAGAUAGGAAUUUGCAAUUACUACUACUGCAGUCUCAGCGCUACAGUUACCAGCCAUGACAGAAAGAUUGAAUAUCAACGAAAUCGACGAGAACACAGAAGAAUGGAUUUGUAAAGUUCAAGUGGUAGAUAAAGGUCAUCCCCGAACCACAAGGGAGGGAAACAAGAAAUAUCAAUUGAUGAUAUUACAGGAUGAAGAGGUAUUUGUCACUAAACUAAAAAAUACUCAUCUACUUUCAUAAAUUAGUUUGUAGCAAAAUAAAUAUACUGCAUACCAUUUUUACUUUGCUUUUUAA